rnacentral:rRNA from 1 species
GUGCAGCAGGCGAGAAAACUUCACAAUGUGCGAAAGCACGAUGAGGGAAUCCCAAGUGCUUGCACGUAAGUGUAAGCUGUUUCUCUGUCUAAAACGCAGAGAGAGUAAGGGCUGGGUAAGACGGGUGCCAGCCGCCGCGGUAAUACCUGCAGCUCGAGUGGUGACCGUUAUUAUUGGGCCUAAAACGUCCGUAGCCGGUUUAAUAAAUGCCUGGGUAAAUCGGACCGCUUAACGGUUCGAAUUCCGGGUAGACUGUUAAACUUGAGACCGGGAGAAGUUAGAGGUACUCCUGGGGUAGAGGUGAAAUUCUGUAAUCCUAGGGGACCACCAGUGGCGAAGGCGUCUAACUAGAACGGGUCUGACGGUGAGGGACGAAGCCCUGGGGCGCAAAC